rnacentral:rRNA from 1 species
UACAGGGGGUGCAAACGUUGCUCGGAAUUAUUGGGCGUAAAGCGCGCGUAGGCGGCCACUUAAGUCGGAUGUGAAAGCCCCUGGCUCAACUGGGGAAGUGCACCCGAAACUGAAUGGCUUGAAUGCAAAAGAGGGUCGCGGAAUUCCCGGUGUAGAGGUGAAAUUCGUAGAUAUCGAGAGGAACACCGGUGGCGAAGGCGGCCUUCUGGACAGUGACUGACGCUGAGAUGCGAAAGCGUGGGUAGCAAACAGG